rnacentral:lncRNA from 1 species
CAGCACAAAAGUUCAAAAAAAAGUAGAGCAGGAUGUUGAAAAAAUGGUUAUGCUCGACAACUUAAAUGAAGAACAGGGGCAUUGAUGUUGCAUUUGUAUCAAGAGAAAUGACAUAUGUACAUUCACUUUUUGACAAUUUUUUAACAACUUUCUCUUUCGUACUCACAUUAUAUUCUUAAUCUCUCUUCAUUUUUCUCUCUCUAUUGUUUUGGACCAAUAGGAAGAGAGUAAAUAAAAAUUGUCAUUAAAGUUGUUACAUAUGGUUGUACAAAUAUCACAACUCUUGUAUCAAUAGUGUUUAAGUAAGGAUAUAGACAUAUCAAUUUUUUUGGUGAUCGAGGCAAGAAAAAAAAUAGCAAGAGGGACCUUCUAUUCGAGAGUAUUCAUUAAUUUAACCAUGUGAGUUGAAUCAGAAAAAGAUGUACAUGAUCCUUCCGAUCUUAUUUAUAAGAAAAAAU